rnacentral:lncRNA from 1 species
UUUUUAGGCAGAGACUUUGAACCAUCAAAAAAAUUGAUAUGGCUUGGAGAAUUAGGGGUUUUAAUCCUCAUCUGAGGUCCAAAAAGAAUAGUCUUACUCUCCGAUGAUCCGAGAACUUUACCGGAUAGUUUCCCACCAUCAUCAAGAGAAUCUAUGAUGCUUAAACCUACUUUACUGCAAUCCCAGCUCUUGUGCUGCCCAUCUUGGGAUGAUCUUGGGGACCUAAAUGGGCUGCCUAGAUUUGAAAAUACUCUAAAAUCUA